rnacentral:rRNA from 1 species
GACGAACGCUGGCGGCGUGCCUAAUACAUGCAAGUUGAGCGAUGAAGAUUGGUGCUUGCACCAAUUUGAAGAGCAGCGAACGGGUGAGUAACGCGUGGGGAAUCUGCCUUUGAGCGGGGGACCACAUUUGGAAACGAAUGCUAAUACCGCAUAACAACUUUAAACAUAAGUUUUAAGUUUGAAAGAUGCAAUUGCAUCACUCACAGAUGAUCCAGCGUUGUAUUAGCUAGUUGGUGAGGUACAGGCUCACCAAGGCGAGGAUACAUAGCCGACCUGAGAGGGUGGGCAGCCGCAUUGAGAGGGUGACACGGCCCAUACGCCUACAGAUGGCAGCAGGAGGGAAACGGCAGCAAGGGACGAAAGACUGAGCGAGCAACGCCGCGGGAGGAAGGAAGGAUGUCGGGUCGGAGAACACGGUUGGUAGGGAAGAACGUGGGUGAGAGUGUGAAGCACAGCAAGUGACGGUAACGACUCAGAAAGCAACGGCUAACUACGUG